rnacentral:rRNA from 1 species
UACGGGGGGGAGCAAGCGUUGUUCGGAUUUACUGGGCGUAAAGGGCGCGUAGGCGGCCAGCACAAGUCAAUUGUGAAAUCUCCGGGCUUAACUCGGAAAGGUCAACUGAUACUGCGGGGCUAGAGUGCGGAAGGGGCAACUGGAAUUCUCGGUGUAGCGGUGAAAUGCGCAGAUAUCAGGAGGAACACCAGUGGCGAAGGCGCCACUCUGGGCCGUAACUGACGCUGAGGAGCGAAAGCGUGGGGAGCGAACAGG